UACGGGGGGGGCAAGCGUUGUUCGGAAUUACUGGGCGUAAAGGGCUCGUAGGCGGCCAACUAAGUCGGAUGUGAAAUCCCCAGGCUUAACUUGGGAACUGCAUCCGAUACUGGAUGGCUUGAAUCCGGGAGAGGGAUGCGGAAUUCCAGGUGUAGCGGUGAAAUGCGUAGAUAUCAGGAGGAACACCGGUGGCGAAGGCGGUUCUCUGGGCAUUACCUGACGCUGAGGAGCGAAAGUGUGGGGAGCGAACAGG
rnacentral:rRNA from 1 species